CAGAGGGUGCAAGCGUUGUUCGGAAUUACUGGGCGUAAAGCGCGCGCAGGCGGAUCCUGCAAGUCAGAAGUGAAAUCUCAUUGCUCAACGAUGAGGCUGCUUUUGAUACUGCGGAUCUGGAGACCGGUAGAGGCUGGUAGAAUUGCAGGUGUAGCGGUGGAAUGCGUAGAGAUCUGCAAGAAUACCCGUGGCGAAGGCGGCCAGCUGGGCCGGUUCUGACGCUGAGGCGCGAAAGCGUGGGGAGCAAACAGGAUUAGAUACCCUGGUAGUCCACGCCGUAAACGAUGGGCACUAGGUGCUGGGGGGAGCGACCCCGUCAGUGCCGUAGCUAACGCGAUAAGUGCCCCGCCUGGGGAGUACGGCCGCAAGGCUG
rnacentral:rRNA from 1 species